GAUGAAGAACGUAGCGAAAUGCGAUAAGUAAUGCGAAUUGCAGAAUUUCCGUGAGUCAUCGAAUCUUUGAACGCACAUUGCGCCCACUGGUAUUCCGGUGGGCAUGCCUGUUCGAGCGUCAUUUCAACCCUCAAGCCUCAGUUGCUUGGUGUUGGGAGCUUAUCUUUGCCGAAAGGCGGACAACUCCUUAAAACUAUUGGCGGAGUCGCGGUGACCCCAAGCGUAGUAAAUUUUUUUUCUCGCUUUAGGUAUCAACGCUGGCUUUCUAGCCGUUAAACCCUCUAAAUCUUUAGUGGUUGACCUCGGAUCAGGUAGGACUACCCGCUGAACUUAAGCAUAUCAAUAAGCGGAGGA
rnacentral:misc_RNA from 1 species